GCUCGGGCGCUUUUCCUCCAGGAAGCCAAGCCGCUGCGGUGCGCUUUGGCUACCUGGGAGGGAAAGGGGAAGGAAAUUCUCUCUACCCCCCGGCUUUCUCUUCCCUUCCCCCCAUUUGGGAAACGAGUAGAGGUAUUGAAAUUUAAAGGAGAUUUUCAAAGGCCGCUGUCGAAGGAUGCUAAUAGGAGUUGCAAGACAGACGCAUUAGGAAGAGGGAAUUUCCCACGGAAAGCUUUGUAAUGAGCUAACGAGACGCGUUCCCCCACCUCACCUUUGGAGGGGAGGGGAAAACAGAGCUUGAAUUACGCAUUUAAUUUCCCCUGCGCUCGUUCCCAAAUGGGAAAAGCUGAUGGGUCUCGAUAGGAUCGGGAUUUCUGGUUUCAAGGUUUAACGUUGUGCGCGCUCCCCUGCUUGCAGACCCCGCAGCUACUCCCACCGCACAUCCUCUCGCCGGUCUUCGCGUCUGCGUCUCCCUCCCGCUGUUGGCGCGUUGCUUCGGCUGCUUUUGCACCACAAUUGUGAAGUUCAGAAGUUACCACAGAAUCUAUGUGAUCUGCAGAGAAUCGCUUGAACCUGGGAGGCAGAGGUUGCAGGAGGUGGAGGUUGCAGUCAGCCUAGAUCGAGAUGGCAGCGCUGCACUCCAGCCUAGGUGAUAGAAUGAGACUGUCUCCGAAAAAAAAAAAAAAAAAAAAAAAAAGAUCUGACCUACAAAGCCUAAAUUAGUUACUAUCUGACUCCCCAGAAAAGGUUUGUUGACCUCUGAUAGAGUCUAGUAAGUGUAUCCUACUAGAAUAGGAUACAACGUAUAGAAGGACUAUACAUUAGGGGGCAUGAUGGUUCAUUCAUCCAUUCAGGAUUAUUAUUAUUUUUUAUUUUUAUCAAGACCUUUUGAUGUGCCAGAUACUGUGGGAUAAGACUAACAACACUAUCUCUGAAAUCUUAGAAAAUACAGGCUGUAUAUGUAGAUUUAGUGAUGCCUAUUACAGGGGGUUGAAACCAUUUCUGCUCACCAAGUUGCAUUUGAGACUUCAAAUUAUUACCCAUCUCACUUCCCUUAAAAAUAUAGAAUAAAUAUCAUGCAGUGCUUAUCACUUCUCUGAUAUCUUAGGAUUAGUGAUUAUCGAUCAGUCUUUAUUACCUUCCAAAAAAUUCUGACAGCUCAGUAUCACUGCAUGUUUUUGUGAAUACUUAUAUUUUAGUAUUGUGACAUAUUUUCAAACUUACAGAAAAGUUGCAAAAAUAGUAUAAA
rnacentral:lncRNA from 1 species